rnacentral:rRNA from 1 species
CGGUUGAUCCUGCCGGAGGCUAUUGCUAUCAGGGUUUGACUAAGCCAUGCGAGUCGAGAGGUGAAAGACCUCGGCAUACUGCUCAGUAACACGUGGAUAAUCUGCCCUCAGGUGAGGAAUAAUCCCGGGAAACUGGGGCUAAUGCCUCAUAGGAGACGGGUGCUGGAAUGCUCUGUCUCCGAAAGGUCCGCCGCCUGAGGAUGAGUCUGCGUCCGAUUAGGUUGUUGUUGGGGUAACGGCCCAACAAGCCUUUGAUCGGUACGGGUUGUGGGAGCAAGAGCCCGGAGAUGGAUUCUGAGACAUGAAUCCAGGCCCUACGGGGCGCAGCAGGCGCGAAAACUUUACAAUGCGAGCAAUCGUGAUAAGGAAACCCUGAGUGCCUGUCAAUGCAGGCUGUUCUGGUGUCUAACACACACCAGGAGAAAGGGCGGGGCAAGACCGGUGCCAGCCGCCGCGGUAAUACCGGCUGCUCGAGUGAUAGCCACUUUUACUGGGCUUAAAGCGUUCGUAGCUUGGUCGUUAAGUCUCUGGGGAAAUCUUUUGGCUCAACCAAAAGGCGUCUCAGGGAAACUGACGAUCUUGGAACCGGGAGAGGUAAGACGUACUUCGGGGGUAGGAGUGAAAUCUUGUAAUCCCCGAGGGACGACCGAUGGCGAAGGCAUCUUACCAGAACGGCUUCGACAGUGAGGGACGAAAGCUGGGGGAGCAAACCGGAUUAGAUACCCGGGUAGUCCCAGCCGUAAACGAUGUGCGUUAGGUGUGUCAGUGACCACGAGUCGCUGAGGUGCCGAAGGGAAACCGUGAAACGCACCGCCUGGGAAGUACGGUCGCAAGGCUGAAACUUAAAGGAAUUGGCGGGGGAGCAC